rnacentral:misc_RNA from 1 species
CUUAUAAACUAUCACGACGCCCAAAAAGUCGUGGCUUGGGUUUUGCCAGCUGGCGUGAUCUCCUCUAUGAGUAAUCAUGUGAGGUGCCAGAUCUAUGGCGUUUCCCUAAUGUAUCCGGAUGCACCCUUGUCUUGGCAGAAAGCCGUGGUGAGGUGCAGUGGCGGAAUCGUGGUUUAAUAAUCGGGUUGGUACUCAGUUGUCAGUGUGUUCGGCGAUCCCCCAGUCGGCACACUCAUGAUUUCUGGGAUAAUUCCAUACCAGGCACGUUCCGUUACUGUUACUUUGUCAUUGGUUUGAUGCUGAACUUGGUCAUGUGUCUGAUGCUAUUUCAUAUAACGACGGUACCCUUCGUGGUCUGUCUU